rnacentral:rRNA from 1 species
UUUGAAACGAUGGCUAAUACCGCAUAAUACCUUCGGGUCAAAGAGGGGGACCUUCGGGCCUCUCGCGUCAGGAUAUGCCUAGGUGGGAUUAGCUAGUUGGUGAGGUAAUGGCUCACCAAGGCGACGAUCCCUAGCUGGUCUGAGAGGAUGAUCAGCCACACUGGAACUGAGACACGGUCCAGACUCCUACGGGAGGCAGCAGUGGGGAAUAUUGCACAAUGGGCGCAAGCCUGAUGCAGCCAUGCCGCGUGUGUGAAGAAGGCCUUCGGGUUGUAAAGCACUUUCAGUCGUGAGGAAGGUAGUGUAGUUAAUAGCUGCAUUAUUUGACGUUAGCGACAGAAGAAGCACCGGCUAACUCCGUGCCAGCAGCCGCGGUAAUACGGAGGGUGCGAGCGUUAAUCGGAAUUACUGGGCGUAAAGCGCAUGCAGGUGGUUUGUUAAGUCAGAUGUGAAAGCCCGGGGCUCAACCUCGGAAUAGCAUUUGAAACUGGCAGACUAGAGUACUGUAGAGGGGGGUAGAAUUUCAGGUGUAGCGGUGAAAUGCGUAGAGAUCUGAAGGAAUACCGGUGGCGAAGGCGGCCCCCUGGACAGAUACUGACACUCAGAUGCGAAAGCGUGGGGAGCAAACAGGAUUAGAUACCCUGGUAGUCCACGCCGUAAACGAUGUCUACUUGGAGGUUGUGGCCUUGAGCCGUGGCUUUCGGAGCUAACGCGUUAAGUAGACCGCCUGGGGAGUACGGUCGCAAGAUUAAAACUCAAAUGAAUUGACGGGGGCCCGCACAAGCGGUGGAGCAUGUGGUUUAAUUCGAUGCAACGCGAAGAACCUUACCUACUCUUGACAUCCAGAGAACUUUCCAGAGAUGGAUUGGUGCCUUCGGGAACUCUGAGACAGGUGCUGCAUGGCUGUCGUCAGCUCGUGUUGUGAAAUGUUGGGUUAAGUCCCGCAACGAGCGCAACCCUUAUCCUUGUUUGCCAGCACUUCGGGUGGGAACUCCAGGGAGACUGCCGGUGAUAAACCGGAGGAAGGUGGGGACGACGUCAAGUCAUCAUGGCCCUUACGAGUAGGGCUACACACGUGCGUACAAAUGCGCCCC